AAAUAUUCAACAAUUUAAGCAUAACUCUCUUUCUUACCAAUCUCACUCAUUCCCAACUUUUUCCCUUUUCUUUUUCUUUUUCAUUGANCUCCUCUUCAUGCUUUUCUUCUUUUCUUUUCUUUUUCUCAUGAAUUUUUCUUUUCACAACAUUUGAGCUCAAUGCUUCACAAUUACUUUUCAAUUUUUCACCAUACAACCCCAAACUUGAACCUUUUCAUCGCAUUCAUUUAAGCUCAUCCCAAC
rnacentral:lncRNA from 1 species